GUUUCUUAUGCCUACAGAAAGGCAGAAAAACUGGUCCAUGAAGAAUGGUGACCUACCUAGACUCGUUGAUAUGUGUAUUUCGCUCGUCAUAACCAAAGAUGCGCAAACUCUAUCAUUGACCGAUUUACGAUUUACAAAACUUCCAACUUGGGGUCUGCCAAAGAGCAAUAUAGCUCAAAUCUCAACAAAACAAAAAAUCAUAAUGUGCUCCCAAACUAGAAUCAGAGACGUAGGAAUCAAGACGGCCAAGCUUAAGUGGCAUUGGGCUGGUCACGUUGUCCGCAUAAAUCUAGGCUGGAUAUCUACUGAGUGGGUAUCUAGGCCUAAGAAAUAUGGGCGUUAUGCUCUGGA